rnacentral:rRNA from 1 species
GAUGAACGCUGGCGGCGUGCCUAAUACAUGCAAGUCGAGCGAACAGACGAGGAGCUUGCUCCUCUGACGUUAGCGGCGGACGGGUGAGUAACACGUGGAUAACCUACCUAUAAGACUGGGAUAACUUCGGGAAACCGGAGCUAAUACCGGAUAAUAUAUUGAACCGCAUGGUUCAAUAGUGAAAGACGGUUUUGCUGUCACUUAUAGAUGGAUCCGCGCCGCAUUAGCUAGUUGGUAAGGUAACGGCUUACCAAGGCAACGAUGCGUAGCCGACCUGAGAGGGUGAUCGGCCACACUGGAACUGAGACACGGUCCAGACUCCUACGGGAGGCAGCAGUAGGGAAUCUUCCGCAAUGGGCGAAAGCCUGACGGAGCAACGCCGCGUGAGUGAUGAAGGUCUUCGGAUCGUAAAACUCUGUUAUUAGGGAAGAACAAAUGUGUAAGUAACUAUGCAACGUCUUGACGGUACCUAAUCAGAAAGCCACGGCUAACUACGUGCCAGCAGCCG